CCAGCCGCGUGCCUUCAGACGGUCCUCCUCCGCGUCCCUACUCAUCUGCUGCCUCCUCAUCUGCUACCUCCGGCCCGCCACUGCCGCUCGCCGACGCCGUGCACGCAUGCCGCGCGCGCCACCGCCGUGGACGCUCGCCUCCGAGCGGAGCUGCGGUUGGCGAACAGGGCGGGGCACAGCGGCCGUCCCCGGCCCGGCGGGCGACUGUGGACUGUGGAGGCGUCUCCCCGGUCUCCUCGAGCUCCGGCGGCGGCCUCCGGAUCCGGCCGGAGCGGACCUCGAGCGCAGCACAGAUGGCGUCCAUGGCCGGCGCGGCCCUCCUCCCUUUCCCUCCUCCCUCGGCGACGCGGGUCCAUAGCCUCCCUCCUCCAUCCUGCGGCGGCUUGCAUGGCCGGCGCGGCGGAGACGGCGUCCAUGGUCGGUUCGAGAGGGCACGUCGACGGCGCCCUCCAUUGCUUGCGGAUCUGCCCUCCAUGGCUUGCGGAUCCAUGGCAGCAAUGGCGGGUGCCCGCGCGGCGCCAUGGCGGUGGCAGCGGCCGGAUCCGAGCCAUGGCUGCUGCGCGCGGGGCUAGCGGCGGCCGUUCUCCUCCUCUGCCCCCUCACCUGCCGCACGCCAUGGCGGGUCUCCUCGAGGUCCACCGCGCGACUUCGGCCGGGCCGGACCUCCUCGACCUCAGCCGCGCGAGGCUGUCUUUCUUCCCGGCGCACCCCCUCGUCCCUCUCCCUCCUCCAGAUGCCGGCGUCGGCGGCAGAGGUGGGCUGCGUCGACCUCCGCCGCGCGCCAUGGCGGACCGCGACGGCCUCCGCAGCGUGCCAUGGCGGGCCGCCUCGAGCUCCGCCGGCCGGAUCCGCACGCGGUCACCAUGGCAGAGCUCGUGGCGGCGUCCAGCGGCGGUGGUACCCCGCACCUGCAGUACCCACUACCUGCAGUACCCCGCACCCCAGAACGCCGGCCAGCCGGGCGGCCAGUGCCGCCGGCAUCCAUGGCCAGGAGCGCUUCGAGCUCUCCUAUUUAGGCAGGGGCGGCUCCAAAUGGUGGAUCGGGUCUCGCGUUUCGUCGUCCGCCGCGCGUCUCGACGUCUCUCCGUCUCGGACUGUCUCUCGGAGUCUCUCCGAAUCCAAAACGCUCCGCGUCUCUGCUCCCUCGGUCAGUCCGUGCAGGUUUUGGGGCAGCGGCAUGGCGCCGCGGUGGCCGGCGAGCGGCGGCCGCAGGUACUGCCGAUUCGUCCGCGCUUGGAAAUUUGGGAGCUGCCACCAGUACCGAUCUCCUCUGCCCUCCCAUACCGCCCCCACCCCUGCAUUUCGUUGGAAGCAGCAACUUGCAUGCAGUUGCUGAGGAAUCGAUCCUGCUGCAUCAAACCCCCAGCGAGAUCUGAACCUUUCCUCCUCCCUACUAAGGUUGCAAUCCCUGUGGCUAAGAAUGAAUCUACAGAACUGACUUCUCCAAGCAGCAGGCGAUUAGCCUAAUCUGUUUCCCUGUGGAUAAUAAGUUGGGUGAACAUUGCAAUAUGAAAGAGAAACAUUGCAACAUGGGGAAGAUUUUAUCUCGGAGAUGUAGGCGAUGGUGCUGCUUCUGAAGCUCAUCGUCAACAUGGUCAUGGGAAGAGCAUGAAUACCUUUAUCAGAUAGAAGAUCCUGCGGCAUGAUUUUAUUUCAACCCGAAUUUCCCGCGGCAUGCAGAUAGAAGAUCUCUGCCUAGCUGCAUAUGGGGAUUUGAUUUUUGUUUCAGUAUCAGAUCGCUUCUAUAAUGCUGGAUGGGUGCCAGUAUUAUGCUGGGUUGAGUUUGUGCCCCCAUCCCCCUUCCAGUGGAAAUUUUGCUGCUGCUGUAUUUAACAUCCUAAGGUUAUUUUGACUUUUUUCUUAUAUGUUGCUCAUGUAGGUCAAGUACCUCGGAGAAGAAGGUGAAAGCACCCCUGCAGCUGGUGUUACAUUUAUUUGCUCACCCUGGGAGCUGCUGAGAAUGCUGCAGUGAUUGUGAACCCAAAGGGAGAGAUGAAAGAAGCAAAGCAUAGGAAAAGAAUGCCAUUCUACUGUAUUUGGGGGUGACUUCACGGUGACCUGCUCAUCCUUCACGUACAACUCUGAAACUGUACCUGUCUGCCUCCGAUUUUGACCGCCCCGUCUUCUUUUCCCAUCAAGGCUGCUGGAUUGGCGACUGCUGCAGGGGUUGGAAUGGGUGCUGUUGGUGCAGUGGGGGUCCCUCGCCGCCUGCCUCGUUUGCGUCGUGCGCGUCGCAGAUUCUUACUUCGGCUUCUCCCUUUCACAUUUGCCCCCGUGAACGGCUGGUUGAAGCGUUUGUGCGCCAAGAAGUCAUUUCGCAUGUAUUAUUAUCAUGGCCUUCUAUGUUGCUUUAAAAUUAUUUUCUUAUGGACUGUGGUGGUCUCAUUUGCUGCUCAUCAGAGUCUUCCAGUAAGCAUGUAUCCUAUGGCGAGGAAAAAAAUAUGUACA